UCUGCUCUAAGAGCAUUUAUAUCCCUGUGAGUUGAACACUUCAUGACUGAGAGCCGUCCUUCAUGACAACAGAACCCACAACAACCAUGACUUUUAUCACCAUCUUAAUCUGGACACUUGCUUUCUACGUCAAGGAAUCCAGUGGACAGGUCACUGUGACCCAGACUCCUGCAGUGAAAACUGUUCUCUCAGGACAGAAAGUCUCUAUGAUCUGUAAAGCCAGCAGUAAUGUGUAUAGUAAUUGUUACAAUGGUCAGUCAUGGGGCCAUCAGUGUCUAUCCUGGUACCAACAGAAACCAGGAGAAAAACCCAAACUAAUGAUGCUCCCGGGGAACACACUCCAUUCUGGGACUCCAUCUAGAUUCAGUGGCAGUGGAUCUGGGAGUGACUUCACUCUGACCAUCAGUGGAGUCCAGGCUGAAGAUGCAGGAGAUUACUACUGUCAGAGUUUCCACAGUGGUCCAGUGUUCACACAGUGAUACAGAGUCGUACAAAAACCUCCCUCAGUCAGACUGCACAGUGACUGUACUGAUACAGAUGUGAUCUACUGCAGGUGCUGAGGGGGAAGAGACAGUGACAUGGAACACUGAUAAGUAGAUGCGGUCAACUGUGGCAUGACAAUAUGGUUAGAAAGCAAUCAUUCUAUCAAGGCACAAGGCUCGUAGACACAAGAGGCAGAUGGUUGGAGACUUACAAUGUUUAUUAAUCCAAAAAGGGGUAGGCAAGAGAAUGGUUGUGUACAGGCAAAAGGUCAAAACCAGUUCAGAGUCCAAUAGGUACUGAAGGGCAGACAGAUUCAAGGUCAGGGCAGGCAGGAUGAUCAGGCAGGCAGGAAAGUAGUCCAGAGUCAGGCAGUGGUCAAAACCAGGAAGACUGGCAAAAGAGAAUUGAAAAGGAGUACGGGGAAAAACACACUGGUUGACUUGACUAAACAUACAAGACGACCUGGCACAGAGAGACAGGAAACACAGGGAUAAAUACACUGGGGGA